GGUAAGGAUGCCUAUUAUGAGAUAGGCGCUCAAUAUGAGAUAGCAAGGUAUUAGUCAAACUAUUCACGUCAGUCAUUUGGGCGCUAGUGUCGCGCGAUCAGCACAGCAACACCGCUAAACGUCUGCCAGUGCGUGCCGGCCACCGGCGAUCGAAGUCCGUGUGAGUGUAGUUUUUACAUUUUCGUAAAACAAAAUAUUUUUCGUCAAAUGUUUACAAGAUGCCUCCCAUCAAAAGGAAGACAUUGGACCAUAAUGCCAUGAUACAAGCUGUGAAUGCAGUUCGAAGAAACGAAAUGGGUUACUUAAGAGCUGCAAAACAAUUUAGUGUUCCUAAGGGUACCCUUGAGCGCUAUGUAAAAAAAGAUGUCCGUGCAGAAGAUCUUGUCCAGGUCGUAUGGGUAGACGACUAGCCUUACCUAUAGAUUUAGAAGCCGAGCUGGAAAGUUAUUGCAAAGAAAUGGAAAGCUCGAAUUGUUUGUUUGUUUUAAAGACUGAUACUUGACUAUAGUUUCAUGAUUAAAGUACCAAAAUAUUAAGACUGAUGUUUGUCUAUAAUAUUUAAUUAAUAAGUAACAAUAAAAAUGUGAUUAUUA
rnacentral:lncRNA from 1 species